GUGGGGAAUAUUGGACAAUGGGGGGAACCCUGAUCCAGCCAUGCCGCGUGUGUGAAGAAGGCCUUUUGGUUGUAAAGCACUUUAAGCGAGGAGGAGGCUACCGAGAUUAAUACUCUUGGAUAGUGGACGUUACUCGCAGAAUAUGCACCGGCUAACUCUGUGCCAGCAGCCGCGGUAAUACAGAGGGUGCAAGCGUUAAUCGGAUUUACUGGGCGUAAAGCGCGCGUAGGUGGCCAAUUAAGUCAAAGGUGAAAUCCCCGAGCUUAACUUGGGAUUUGCAUUCGAUACUGGUUGGCUAGAGUAUGGGAGAGGAUGGUAGAAUUCCAGGUGUAGAGGUGAAAUGCGUAGAGAUCUGGAGGAAUACCGAUGGCGAAGGCAGCCAUCUGGCCUAAUACUGACACUGAGGUGCGAAAGCAUGGGGAGCAAACAGGAUUAGAUACCCCGGUAGUCC
rnacentral:rRNA from 1 species